rnacentral:rRNA from 1 species
UACGGGGGGGGCAAGCGUUGUCCGGAAUUAUUGGGCGUAAAGCGUCUGCAGGUGGCACUUCAAGUCUGUCGUCAAAGACUGGGGCUUAACCCUGGAAAGGCGGUGGAAACUGAAGCGCUAGAGUGCGGUAGGGGUAGAGGGAAUUCCCGGUGUAGCGGUGAAAUGCGUAGAGAUCGGGAAGAACAUCGGUGGCGAAAGCGCUCUACUGGACCGCAACUGACACUCAGGGACGAAAGCUAGGGGAGCGAAUGGG